CUACGGAGGGUGCAAGCGUUACUCGGAAUCACUGGGCGUAAAGCGCGCGCAGGCGGGCUGAUAAGUUGGAUGUGAAAGCCUACGGCUCAACCGUAGAACUGCAUCCAAAACUGUCAGUCUAGAGUCUGGGAGGGGAAGAUGGAAUUAGUUGUGUAGGGGUAAAAUCCGUAGAGAUAACUAGGAAUACCAAAAGCGAAGGCGAUCUUCUGGAACAGUACUGACGCUGAGGCGCGAAAGCGAGGGGAGCAAACAGGAUUAGAAACCCUUGUAGUCC
rnacentral:rRNA from 1 species